AGGGGGGGGGGUGCUUUAACAUGCAGUCGAACGCUGAAGCACCAGCUUGCUGGUGUGGAUGAGUGGCGAACGGGUGAGUAAUACGUGAGUAACCUGCCCUUGACUCUGGGAUAAGCCCGGGAAACUGGGUCUAAUACUGGAUGCUACAUGUCACCGCAUGGUGGUGUGUGGAAAGGGUUUACUGGUCUUGGAUGGGCUCACGGCCUAUCAGCUUGUUGGUGAGGUAAUGGCUCACCAAGGCGACGACGGGUAGCCGGCCUGAGAGGGUGACCGGCCACACUGGGACUGAGACACGGCCCAGACUCCUACGGGAGGCAGCAGUGGGGAAUAUUGCACAAUGGGCGAAAGCCUGAUGCAGCGACGCCGCGUGAGGGAUGACGGCCUUCGGGUUGUAAACCUCUUUCAGCAGGGAAGAAGCCACAAGUGACGGUACCUGCAGAAGAAGCGCCGGCUAACUACGUGCCAGCAGCCGCGGUAAUACGUAGGGCGCAAGCGUUGUCCGGAAUUAUUGGGCGUAAAGAGCUCGUAGGCGGUUUGUCGCGUCUGCUGUGAAAGCCCGGGGCUUAACCCCGGGUGUGCAGUGGGUACGGGCAGACUAGAGUGCAGUAGGGGAGACUGGAAUUCCUGGUGUAGCGGUGGAAUGCGCAGAUAUCAGGAGGAACACCGAUGGCGAAGGCAGGUCUCUGGGCUGUUACUGACGCUGAGGAGCGAAAGCAUGGGGAGCGAACAGGAUUAGAUACCCUGGUAGUCCAUGCCGUAAACGUUGGGCACUAGGUGUGGGGGACAUUCCACGUUUUCCG
rnacentral:rRNA from 1 species